ACAUGCCUACAACAUAGCAUUAAUGUAGCGGAUCCCAUUAGAAAUCCACAGUUAAGUGCACUUAGGCUAGAGUAGUAUUAGGAUGGGUGACCACCCGAGAAGUCCUAGUGUUUUACAUGCC
rnacentral:rRNA from 1 species